rnacentral:rRNA from 1 species
AGAGGGUGCAAGCGUUGUUCGGAAUUAUUGGGCGUAAAGCGCGUGUAGGCGGCUUUGCAAGUCGGGUGUGAAAUCCCUCAGCUUAACUGAGGAAGUGCGCCCGAAACUGCAGAGCUUGAGUACCGGAGAGGGUGGCGGAAUUCCCCAAGUAGAGGUGAAAUUCGUAGAUAUGGGGAGGAACACCGGUGGCGAAGGCGGCCACCUGGACGGAUACUGACGCUGAGACGCGAAAGCGUGGGGAGCAAACAGGAUUAGAUACCCUGGUAGUCCACGCCGUAAACGAUGAGAACUAGGUGUCGUGGGUGUUGACCCCCGCGGUGCCGUAGCUAACGCAUUAAGUUCUCCGCCUGGGAAGUACGGCCGCAAGGCUA